GCUCAGGACGAACGCUGGCGGCGUGCCUAAUACAUGCAAGUCGAACGCUUCUUUUUCCACCGGAGCUUGCUCCACCGGAAAAAGAGGAGUGGCGAACGGGUGAGUAACACGUGGGUAACCUGCCCAUCAGAAGGGGAUAACACUUGGAAACAGGUGCUAAUACCGUAUAACAAUCGAAACCGCAUGGUUUUGAUUUGAAAGGCGCUUUCGGGUGUCGCUGAUGGAUGGACCCGCGGUGCAUUAGCUAGUUGGUGAGGUAACGGCUCACCAAGGCCACGAUGCAUAGCCGACCUGAGAGGGUGAUCGGCCACAUUGGGACUGAGACACGGCCCAAACUCCUACGGGAGGCAGCAGUAGGGAAUCUUCGGCAAUGGACGAAAGUCUGACCGAGCAACGCCGCGUGAGUGAAGAAGGUUUUCGGAUCGUAAAACUCUGUUGUUAGAGAAGAACAAGGAUGAGAGUAACUGUUCAUCCCUUGACGGUAUCUAACCAGAAAGCCACGGCUAACUACGUGCCAGCAGCCGCGGUAAUACGUAGGUGGCAAGCGUUGUCCGGAUUUAUUGGGCGUAAAGCGAGCGCAGGCGGUUUCUUAAGUCUGAUGUGAAAGCCCCCGGCUCAACCGGGGAGGGUCAUUGGAAACUGGGAGACUUGAGUGCAGAAGAGGAGAGUGGAAUUCCAUGUGUAGCGGUGAAAUGCGUAGAUAUAUGGAGGAACACCAGUGGCGAAGGCGGCUCUCUGGUCUGUAACUGACGCUGAGGCUCGAAAGCGUGGGGAGCAAACAGGAUUAGAUACCCUGGUAGUCCACGCCGUAAACGAUGAGUGCUAAGUGUUGGAGGGUUUCCGCCCUUCAGUGCUGCAGCUAACGCAUUAAGCACUCCGCCUGGGGAGUACGACCGCAAGGUUGAAACUCAAAGGAAUUGACGGGGGCCCGCACAAGCGGUGGAGCAUGUGGUUUAAUUCGAAGCAACGCGAAGAACCUUACCAGGUCUUGACAUCCUUUGACCACUCUAGAGAUAGAGCUUCCCCUUCGGGGGCAAAGUGACAGGUGGUGCAUGGUUGUCGUCAGCUCGUGUCGUGAGAUGUUGGGUUAAGUCCCGCAACGAGCGCAACCCUUAUUGUUAGUUGCCAUCAUUCAGUUGGGCACUCUAGCAAGACUGCCGGUGACAAACCGGAGGAAGGUGGGGAUGACGUCAAAUCAUCAUGCCCCUUAUGACCUGGGCUACACACGUGCUACAAUGGGAAGUACAACGAGUCGCGAAGUCGCGAGGCUAAGCUAAUCUCUUAAAGCUUCUCUCAGUUCGGAUUGCAGGCUGCAACUCGCCUGCAUGAAGCCGGAAUCGCUAGUAAUCGCGGAUCAGCACGCCGCGGUGAAUACGUUCCCGGGCCUUGUACACACCGCCCGUCACACCACGAGAGUUUGUAACACCCGAAGUCGGUGAGGUAACCUUUUGGAGCCAGCCGCCUAAGGUGGGAUAGAUGAUUGGGGUGAAGUCGUAACAAGGUAGCCGUAUCGGAAGGUGCGGCUGGAUCACCUCCUUUCUAAGGAA
rnacentral:rRNA from 1 species